rnacentral:tmRNA from 1 species
GGGGGUGAUCGGUUUCGACUGGAGUGAUAGUUCCAGAAGAAGCGGGUCGAGAAUCCAGAGUCAUCUCGUUAAUGUCCUCUGGAAACCAAUAAGUGCCGAUACCAAUCGCACUGACUUCGCUCUCGCUGCCUGAGCAGUGACCGAAGGGUCAGCCCGGAUGUAGCCUUCCGUCCGGAUCCUGGCCUCAUUUAGAGGGCUUGCUUGUCGAUCUGCGUUCGAGGGAUCGACAGGGACUUUUCUCGAACUGGGCU